AGGGAGGUGCCGCUGGGGGUGGAGAAAGAGGCAGCAGGAAGAAGCCAUGAAGGGGGGCCUGUGUGGAGAUGAGAGCAAGUAUAAAGAUAGGGCCACCCGCCCACUUAACGGGUCCACGUCACAUGUUCUCUCUGGAGGGCCCGGGCGGGGGCACCUGACGGUGUUCAGAGUUCUUGGCUUCUGAUGCUGCUCUCGGCUUGUCACAGAUGCUUGUGCCCAGAUUUAGGAGGACAACCAGCCUUAUUCCAGCCGCUGGCCUGCAGCUCCCGCAGACAACUUACAGGAGGCUCUUGGGACAGGAAGAGGAAGGCACGUUCCCAUAGUGAUGAAAGCAAGCUUGGGAACAUGAUAGUGAUAAUGACAAUAGUGAUGAUUAUUGUAGCAGUCAUCCAUUCCACACGGAUUACCAUAUGUUACGUCCUUUGGAGCAGAAAUGGACAUUCAUUUCUUCAAUGCUGACAUCAACCCCAUCAGCAUUUGGUGCCGUGACUCGGAUCGGCAGGCAACUGACUCUUGGGCCACACACCCAGUUGAGUCUCCUAGCCGAUAACCAGAUAACAUCCUGGAUUAAUCCCGAGCUUUUUCCUCUCCCGAGACGUUCCUGUCGCCAGCGGCCUGCACUCCGCAUCGGCCAGACUGAUUUCAGUUCUGAGACAGGUAAACCUAUACAAGGUGGAGCUGCCUGCCCCCUCCAUGGACCACGCUCAAAUGCAGCAGAAGAUACUGGGCAAGAAAAUGCCCCAUCCUGGCAUUCUUUGAGACCUUACUCCAGGGCUACUGGACUGUCCUAGCCACCACAGAGUGGAUAAGUCAUCCUAAAUAAUAGCCCUCACAGGAAAUGUUGACACUGCCAGAUUCGUCACUGACAGAAAAUCGCUGCUGAAGACUGAAAAGACUCAGGGCCAGCAGCCCCCUUUGUGUGUGUCCGUCAUGGAUUUCAAGUCGCACUAAAGUCUCAGGUAAGACAUUCUCUAUAUUUGUGGACAUAGAGGCCUUAUAUACAGAGUUCUUCCUGAGUAUUCAGGCUGCUAUAUUAAGUCCUCAAUCUCUAUGACAGGGUAUUGAUGGUCAACCUAUGCCAUUUACAUUACAAACAGGGCCUAUUUUGUGCAGGUCCCAGUCCUAAAUCUUAAAGUGCCUUUUAUACAGGCUGACUUAGACACACAGAGGCCUCAACAGCUUCCACCUGUUGUCACUGGUGGACCUCUCCUCAGUGAUAUAGACCACCCCUCUUUCUUUCUUAUUCACCAAUUUCUCAGGUACCCUGGUUAAGACUGACAGAUACAUUUUUAUCUUCUCACUUGGUUUAUACUUUUUCAGGAUACAUAAAAGCCUUUCUCAUACUUACUAAAGUUCUGUUACAGCAAAUCAUUCCAAGGACUACAACCAGGUUACAGCAACCCAUGCCUAAAUCAAAGUUGCUGGACUGCCAUCCUGGUUUCACAUCACUCAGGCUAAGAGGUGCCCUUCCAGCCCUAAAUCUGAUCAUUCUGAGUGGUCAUCUCAUCUUCUGUCGCCUACCCGUCUCCGUCUCACAAAGGCCUCGCAGCCACAGUUAACAGGCUAAGUCAUGUUUUGUUAUCCACUUUGAUUCCUAAUUUCUUACAUUCUAUUAAAGAAUCUUCAUAAUGUUCUAUAUGAUAACAGUUGCAGUUCUUUCUACCCUCAGCUGUCUGGUUAAACGUGACAUCCCUGAAAGCCUAAGCCCUUACCUUCCCUAUACGGGUGCAGCCACCGCUUUCCCUGCUCCCCCUAUUCUUUCCAGUGCAACUCCUGGACUGGAGACAAGUUUUAUACACCUACCCUCUUAACUUUUAUGCUUUCAGAUGGGGGAGUAAGCACCUCUCAUAACUCCACUCCUCCUAACCCCACGUUUAAUUUUCAGAAUUCUGCUUCACUGUGGAAAUGUUUCUACCUCAACAUGGUCCUGAUAGAAUGAUAUGUCUAAAUCAAAGGCACCUUUCCCUCUACCUCACCUGGGUCCUUAAUAUGACAGUGCCAUGUCUCCUCCUAACAUCUUGUCUCUUUGUUUUUCCAGUCUGACAUACGUGCAUUCACCAGUGAAGCUGUCAUGGCCAAAACACCUGGCACCAGCGUCUACCUGGGCAUCAACCUUCAUCCCGUCGACUCCCCUAGGCUCCAGUACAGCGCCCUUUGCCAGCAGGAAGUAGUUAAAGAGAGAAAUCUUUGCCCCUUUUCAUAAUAAUAAUAAUAAUAAUCAUAAGAUGGGAUAUGAAAGGGUUUUGGCCCAAACAGGACACUGUAGCUAGGAAAGCCACAACCGGAAGCAGGAAGCCCCAUCUCCCCUGCCCCUAGGAAGUUACCCGUGACGCCAUCUUCCCGCCCCUGGAAAUUUACAUAUGGCGCCAAACCUAGGACCAAUGGGCUACCUGUGUAUCCCUAAUGCCCGCCUUAGGUUCCACCCCAAACCAAGGCUAUUUACAGGCCCCCACGCCACGUGUCCACCAGAGAGAUCGCCGGACACCAGCGGUGGGGGUGCCGGUCAUCUCUCUCUGUGUUCUCAGAAUAAAGGCCACUUUUUAUUUUA